CACUAUGCUUAGCCCUAAACAUAGAUACUAAACUACUUAUUUUAUCCGCCCGGGAACUACGAGCAUCAGCUUAAAACCCAAAGGACUUGGCGGUGCUUUAGAUCCACCUAGAGGAGCCUGUUCUAGAACCGAUAAUCCCCGUUAAACCUCACCUUUCCUUGUCUUAUCCGCCUAUAUACCGCCGUCGUCAGCUUACUCUCUGAAGACCCCAAAGUAAGCACAAUUGGCACAGCCCAAAACGCCAGGUCGAGGUGUAGCGUAUGGAAAGGGAAGAAAUGGGCUACAUUCAAUAAAUUAAUGAAUACGGAUGAUAUCCUGAAAAAGAUGUCUGAAGGAGGAUUUAGCAGUAAGUAGAGAAUAGAGAGCUCUACUGAAUCUGGCCCUGAAGCGCGCACACACCGCCCGUCACUCUCCCCGAACUAACAAAAUCACAUAAUUAAUAAACUAGACCUGCAAAGGGGAGGCAAGUCGUAA
rnacentral:rRNA from 1 species